AGCGGACAAACUUAAGUCCUUAUUUGAAACAUCUAGUCUUUCUAGAUGUUUAGAAGUGCACAAAGUAUGUUAAAAGUAGAGGUAGUGAAAUUUGUAGAUAUAUCCUUUUGUUAAGAUUCAUACGAAAUACUCGUUUAGAAAUGGAAUGAUCAGAAUGAUCAAACCACCUCUCAGAGCAGUACAUAUUAAUUUACUUGUGCUGGUUCAGGGAGAAAGUACAAGGGGGGGUUAUACCAGUAUGUUUAUGUUAGGAUGGUUAACCAUUGUCCUGUAUGUGUCUGCGUUUUGGUUUACUUAGCUGUGUACAUAGUGUAUAUAAGGGACAAACGUCCAAAUUUACAACAUCUAGCCUUUCUAGAUGUUAAAGAGCUUGCCAGUGUAUGACAAAAAUAACCAAUAAAUACAUUGUGUACGCUUGAUGUUAAAAUUCAUAGGCAAGAUUUCUGAAAACAACUGGCAGAAGUGAAAUUGUUAAAAUCCCCUCUAAGCAUUAUAGAUGCUUAUUAGACUUGUCCACUGGGUUGAUAGAGAAGGGGAAGGGUCCUUGGCUAGCAUGUUCCUGUUGAGAUGAUACUUUGAGACUAUAGCCAUUGUACACAGUGUAUUCAGUGCUACUGUGUGUAUGUAUAGUGGACAAACUUAAAUCCUUAUUUGAAACAUCUAGCCUUUUAGAUGUGUAAAAGUACACAACCUAUUUUGAAAGUAGAGAGUUAAACACCUUUUAAGUUUUGGGGGUUUUUUUUCUGUUAAUUAAUAGGAAUGGUUUUAUUUGGGUAGUGGGG
rnacentral:lncRNA from 1 species